AUUGAACGCUGGCGGCAUGCCUUACACAUGCAAGUCGAACGGCAGCACGGGAGCAAUCCUGGUGGCGAGUGGCGAACGGGUGAGUAAUAUAUCGGAACGUGCCCAGUCGUGGGGGAUAACGUAGCGAAAGCUACGCUAAUACCGCAUACGAUCUACGGAUGAAAGCGGGGGAUCGCAAGACCUCGCGCGAUUGGAGCGGCCGAUAUCAGAUUAGCUAGUUGGUGAGGUAAAGGCUCACCAAGGCGACGAUCUGUAGCUGGUCUGAGAGGACGGCCAGCCACACGGGAACUGAGACACGGUGCAGACUCCUACGGGAGGCAGCAGUGGGGAAUUUUGGACAAUGGGCGCAAGCCUGAUCCAGCAAUGCCGCGUGCAGGAUGAAGGCCUUCGGGUUGUAAACUGCUUUUGUACGGAGCGAAACGGUCUUCUCUAAUACAGGGGGCUAAUGACGGUACCGUAAGAAUAAGCACCGGCUAACUACGUGCCAGCAGCCGCAGUAACAC
rnacentral:rRNA from 1 species